rnacentral:tRNA from 2 species
AAAAAUGAAAUCAUUAGAUAUUUCAUUUACAAUGAAAAUUAGUAGUUAUACCAUUUUUU